ACACAUACCCCUACUGCACGGAGAACAUUUUUUUUUUCCUGGUUGAUUCUUUUACUUUUGAUUGACCUUUAUCUUGAUCUAUCCUCUAAGAAAAGUGGGUGGACAAUAACACAAGGUAGAGAAAAGCUGUUUGUAUGGGGGUCACAGAACAAAGAUUCACCAAAGCAGAGGAAAUCCUUCUUCAAGGUGUGUGGAGCUGCCCAAGUAAAAGAAAGCGUGCACUUAUCUCAGCACAGUCCUUCAAAACAAUAUAUCUUUUUUUUCCGCAUGUUACUUAUGUGCUGUUUAAUCUUCUUUCUUUAAUGAUUUCAGUAUUUAAAAUCCACCAGCAAAGAUGCUUGCCUCAAUUUUUCCCUUUUUUAUUUCCCUGGUGUGGACUAAUAAUUCCAUUUUUAAAGGUUGUAGGGGCCUUUCCAUUUUUAUGCCUCUUUUUCCCUCCUGCAUAAGAGAUUGGCUAUAGGAGAUGCCUUCCGGCUGCUGCAUGAAGCGCAUUACUACCUUGUGAUGCCGUGACCCUCCUCUUUGCAUCCCUAACUCUCAAAAGCUGAUUCAGCUUUCAGCUGGUGCUCUGGUGACUGUAUUAUUGCUGCAACUGGAUUCUCUCUUAACUGAUACAAUUACUAUAAGAAGAGAAUGUUGAAUGUUGGAAUGAAGUGGACGGAGAGAGUGAGGUCAAUGCACCCAGGCCAUUUACCUGAAAAUGGUGAAUCCUCCUCAAAUCCAGGUUCUGCUGCUACAUUUGCUACCAGUUCAGGCAGAGUCUCAGCUCUCUGGAAGACAUGAAGAAAAUCUACCUCUGACUUUGUGCAGAACUUUGUUUUCUACUGCCCUACUGUCUGGAAAGCAAUAAAUGCUUUGCUAAAGCUGGUAAAAUGGAACCAAAUCAACUGUUCAAUGGAUUUGGUCCCCUUCAACCAGCUGUAGCUGUGCAUUGAUCACCCGCAUCCCUAAUACUUGGGAAGUUGGAAGGAUAAAAGACUGCUUGCUACUUGCCGACAAGCCAGGAGGCUGAAGACAAACAGCCUGCAAGAUGAUGUCGAUAAGGAAAUUAUGACGCCUGGCACCUAUAGAUCCAUCAUCUAUCGUCUAAACUGGUGGGCUGAACCUGAAUCGUUAUAUGGUUCCAGUCAAUGCUAGGUAACUGAUGGUACUAAUCUUAAUCUCUCUGCUGUAUUGAUUUGCACUGUAAUUUAGCAAUCUGUAUUCUGAAAGGGGUAGCUCUGAAUUGCUCAACUCUCCCUCCACCCCCUCUCUUCAUUUAGCCCUUUUUGCUUGAGGUAAGCUUUUCAAUGCACUCCUUGAAUAAAUAAACUAAUUCAUUUUCUGAAUUUUUAAGUACAAGUCAAAUCAAUAAAAUGUAAUUCAAUUCAUAAA